GUGAUCAAUAAAUUUGUAAGAAAGAUCGGGAAACAAGAUAAUACAAACAGAAAUACUAAAUGGAAACGUAUGAUGAAUAAUACAAGUACUUGAAAGCAACCUAUGGUCUUUGGAAUGAAAUCAAUUUUUAUUUUCUGAAUAGAAAUCCAUUGACAUGAGUUUCUUCAUUAUUCAUAUAAAUACGAAAGAAAAGAGAACUGGACAAUACAACAGAAACACUGAAAUUACAGGGAAUACUUAUGCGUAAUAGGAAUUUGUAAAGGAGUUUGUUGCGACACAAUGAUAUUAACAUUUUUAUGUUCCAACUACGCACGUAUUUUGACUGGGUCCAUAAUGCAUACCACAAGUACAACAAACCCAGCAGUCACUGCAAUCAUCAUUGGAAGUACAACUUCUAAAACAAGUUGCAAGUUGUGGGAGUAUUCUCCUCUUGAAUCCUGAGAAAUCAUGAUCGAUAUUCUGUGCAGCUAUAACUUGCGUCAUUGGAAAUCUCGACAUAUUAACUGAAAUUUUCACAUCAUAAUUAUUGAGAUCAAGUUAUGGAUUGUAUAACGUAAAACAACACACUAAAAUUUCAUGUAUAUAAAAACAUGGACAUUAUCGAUACAUAUAAAAUAUGCGCGUGUACAAACACAUAAAUAUUAUAUGUACUACAAGAAAAUAUGUACGAGAAUAUGAGAUAAAUAAAAAUAGGUAUAUAUAUAUAUAUAUGUGUGUGUGUAUGUGUAUGUAUGUGUGUGUAUGUGGUGUACGACAACAAAAGGAAUAUGUACGAGAAUAUAGACAUUAGGAAAAAUGGGUACUCACUUGUGGUUGCCAUGAGAAUGAUAGUGAUAAUAAAACAAUGUUUAAAUAUCGCCAUAUCAGAAACUAUACUUCACACUUUAUGAAAGUCCUUGUUUGAGCAUUUCGUUGUCUUUAAAAGGUGGAAAUUUAUAGUCCUCUGUGAAUGAACUACCUGAUCUCUAGCAUGUGCUAUAGUUCUUUCUUUUCAUUUUUUUUUUCUCUUUAGUUUGUUUUUAUAUUUUAAUAAAGUCCCUUCACUCACACACCUUCCUAAAAAGAUUAUAAAUUACGCAUUCGAAUGUAUAGAAUAAAAUAUUUUGACCAGA
rnacentral:lncRNA from 1 species